GGGCCUAUAGCUCAGUUGGCUAGAGCGUUCGAUUCGCAUUCGAAAGGUCGCCGGUUCGAAUCCGGCUAGGUCCACCA
rnacentral:tRNA from 1 species